rnacentral:rRNA from 1 species
CUGGGAGGACCAUCUCCUAAGGCUAAAUACUCUCUAGUGACCGAUAGUGAACCAGUACCGUGAGGGAAAGGUGAAAAGCACCCCGGAAGGGGAGUGAAAUAGAACCUGAAACCGUGUGCUUACAAGUAGUCAGAGCCCGUUAAUGGGUGAUGGCGUGCCUUUUGUAGAAUGAACCGGCGAGUUACGAUUUGAUGCAAGGUUAAGCAGUAAAUGUGGAGCCGUAGCGAAAGCGAGUCUGAAUAGGGCGUUUAGUAUUUGGUCGUAGACCCGAAACCAGGUGAUCUACCCUUGGUCAGGUUGAAGUUCAGGUAACACUGAAUGGAGGACCGAACCGACUUACGUUGAAAAGUGAGCGGAUGAACUGAGGGUAGCGGAGAAAUUCCAAUCGAACCUGGAGAUAGCUGGUUCUCUCCGAAAUAGCUUUAGGGCUAGCCUCAAGUGAUGAUUAUUGGAGGUAGAGCACUGUUUGGACGAGGGGCCCCUCUCGGGUUACCGAAUUCAGACAAACUCC